rnacentral:rRNA from 1 species
CAAGCGGAGGAACAUGUGGUUUAAUUCGAAGCAACGCGAAGAACCUUACCAGGUCUUGACAUCCCGAUGCUAUUUCUAGAGAUAGAAAGUUACUUCGGUACAUCGGUGACAGGUGGUGCAUGGUUGUCGUCAGCUCGUGUCGUGAGAUGUUGGGUUAAGUCCCGCAACGAGCGCAACCCCUAUUGUUAGUUGCCAUCAUUCAGUUGGGCACUCUAGCGAGACUGCCGGUAAUAAACCGGAGGAAGUGGGAUGACGUCAAAUCAUCAUGCCCCUUAUGACCUGGGCUACACACGUGCUACAAUGGUUGGUACAACGAGUUGCGAGUCGGUGACGGCGAGCUAAUCUCUUAAAGCCAAUCUCAGUUCGGAUUGUAGGCUGCAACUCGCCUACAUGAAGUCGGAAUCGCUAGUAAUCGCGGAUCAGCACGCCGCGGUGAAUACGUUCCCGGGCCUU